AUUGAACGCUGGCGGCAUGCCUUACACAUGCAAGUCGAACGGUAACAGGUCUUCGGAUGCUGACGAGUGGCGAACGGGUGAGUAAUACAUCGGAACGUGCCUAGUAGUGGGGGAUAACUACUCGAAAGAGUGGCUAAUACCGCAUGAGAUCUACGGAUGAAAGCAGGGGAUCGCAAGACCUUGUGCUACUAGAGCGGCCGAUGGCAGAUUAGGUAGCUGGUGGGAUAAAAGCUUACCAAGCCGACGAUCUGUAGCUGGUCUGAGAGGACGAUCAGCCACACUGGGACUGAGACACGGACCAGACUCCUACGGGAGGCAGCAGUGGGGAAUUUUGGACAAUGGGCGCAAGCCUGAUCCAGCAAUGCCGCGUGCAGGAUGAAGGCCUUCGGGUUGUAAACUGCUUUUGUACGGAACGAAAAGCCCCGGGUUAAUACCCUGGGGUCAUGACGGUACCGUAAGAAUAAGCGCCGGCUAACUACGUGCCAGCAGCCGCCGUAA
rnacentral:rRNA from 1 species